GUGAUGUAUGAAAGGAGAGAGGGUUAGCACUCCCCCUGACAAUGAUGGAAAUGGCCCUGGUGGCCUUCAACACACAUACGGUUAAGGCAUUGCCACCUACUCGACAUUUCUAACCAUGUUAUUUU